GGAUUAGGGACAAGAGGAGAUUGUGGUUCAGAUCAAGUGUUUCAGCAUAAACCUGUGGCAUCUCACCUGGCAUUCUUUCCCCAGGGGCUCUGUCAUUGCAGGGCCUUCCUCCAUGGGCUGGAGGGCUGGAAGGCAAGAUAUUCCCUGGAUCUUAGCAGCAGCAAGACUCUGAGGAAGUUCAGCCCCUGAGGUGUGGUCCUAGUUCAGGGAAGGGGAGAAUCAGCUUCGUGAAGACCUCUACCUUCCUUCCCCUGCUGGUCACUUUCCAGGAACUGUGAUGAAGAAAGACAGAUUUGUGAAGUAGCAAACACAGAUGUCUGUGACCUGGACAUGCCAGUUACCAACAAAAAACAGGAAUAAUCUUUCUAAGUGAACUAAAGGAGAAAAGCAAGUUGCUGGUGAAGCCCCAUAGCAUCCUCUAGAGAACAGAGUCCAUGGAUCGUUUCAGCAGCAGCAGCAGAGACACAGAACCGCUGAGGACUGCCCAGUGUUACUAAGCAGGGAGCUUUGUGUCAUCACAGAGGACCAUGUGAGAGCAUCACAGGAAUGCACUGAACUUGGAGACAGCUAGGAUUAUUCUCAAGAAAAAUCUCUAAAAGUCUCACUUUGAUACCACUGGCAAGGUUGAAACUGUGAAACCCAGUGAAAGCUUUUGAGAGGUGAAGACAAAGUGCAGAUAAACAGGUGUGUGUCUACAAGAUGAAUCUAGAAACCCAGAGGAGGAGGAGUGAGCCAUGGUCUGCAGAAUUGAUAAGUGCAGAUGGAGGGAUAGAGCCAGGCUGGCUGGAAGACAGCACAGCUUUAUUCUACCAAGACGGUCUCAGAUUGCCAGGAGCCGCUCCAGAAGCCAAAGCAAGGUUUGUCCCUCAUGCUGAACAACUGUUCUAGAACAUAGGAACUCUGUGGCCGUGAUGAUUCUAGAAGACAUGAUCUUGCUAUAACCACACCAGAGAACAGUUCUGUGGUCCCAGCCACCAGGCAGCCCAGUCAGUUUCUGUUCCAUGUAACUCUGGCGUAAGCACUGUUCGAAUUCUUCUGAUUGUCUAGAUAAUGUUUAUUAAGAUGCCCACCAGAGAAUCACUGACAUUCUGGGAGCCAUCAGUGCAGAAAAGAGUUAGCUUUUUGAACCCUCCACAGAAUUGGCCAACAGAAAGCUCCAAGCUGACAGUAACACGUCCCCAAGUCCUCUUUACUGAGGCACUUCUCAGUCCCCCGUGAUACAGUUUGGUCCUUGUCAAGACACCUCAGUAACCCAAGUCCAUCUGUCUCAACAUGCUCAGACAGCUAUAAAAACACUAACUAGGAAUCCUGUCAGAACCAGAAACUCAUUCCUUACAGCUCUGGAAAUGGUCUGUUCAAAAUGCAGGUUUGGAAUCUGCUGCAGACCUUCCCCUUAGAGGAGGUUGCUUUUGUAGUCUAACUCCAUGUUGGAGACAGGGUGGCGGUCUCUUUGCUGUUCCUUUGUAUAACGGCAAUAAUCCCAUUCACCAGGGCUCUGCCCCUUAUGAACUGUUCUAUCCAAAGCCUAGCUUCUUAAUACCAUCACCCAGGACAUCGGGGUUUCAGCAGAUGAACAUUGGUGGAAACACACUUGAAUCAUCAAAGGAAGUGCUUGUGAGAAUGCUUAGAACAGCGGAAGUCCACUGGAGUGUCUUCUCAUUCCGUUCACUACUCUCAGAGCAAUAAAGAUGCGCAGUACUUGCUAUAGGCGGGCAUUGGUGUGAGUUGGAUCCUUCAAGCUUGGUAUCUUGAAGGUUAACAGACUUGGUUGUGGCCAUGCAACUUGGAAGUAGAAAAGAAGGGACUUGUCCCAGAGUGGUCUGUCUUCACAGGCCACACAUCUGCUCACCGGGGACACUGCUAUUCUAUUUCAUGUUAUCUUUACCUUGCUGAGCGAACAGAAAGUUCAAGGAUGCCAAGGUAACUUCGUGGUGUGGUCAUUACAACUUGCACCUGGGACCAGUGAUGAAAGUCAUUCAUCUUGGCGGCCUUCAGAUGUCCCUUGGCCAACCAGUCAAGGGCAGUGUUUAAUAAAUAACAUGUUGCUGCUGUUUCUGACCGAUGCAGCAUUGUCUGGAUUGUUACUAUGGAGCCAGAGAAGGAACAAGUAACUCACGCUGACUCGAAUCCGGCUGUUCUUAUGAGACAAGGUCCUUCUCACUUUCACCUGUAGCCAGACCUAGAUGGUUAAGAUAGCCUUAGACCCUCAUCCCCCAGAGUAUUAAAAAAUAC
ensembl:lncRNA LOC120099033 uncharacterized LOC120099033